AAACAACAGCGCACAUGUUUUGAAACUAGUUUGGUUCUGAUCGCCGGCCAGUACGCAUCGCUUGUUGUACAUUAAGUUAUAUUCAACAUUCUCAUUAUUGGCUUCAUUAUAUAUAUAAAUUUAAAUAGUGAUAGUGUUGCUCUUUACGAUAAGUGUGCAAACCCAAACUUCUGUCGGAAUAGUUUAAAAUCACAGCCCAAAUAGAGUCUCUGCAGGAAUUUCAACGCACGUUGCACGUUGCAACAACAGGUCACUUUCUUAGUUUAUAAAUGCCCCAAGAAAUUGAACGGGACCUUGUAGGAGAGUCAUUCUUGCGCCAAAUCGGCUGUAGAAAUUGAACGGGAACUCACAGGAGGGCCAUUUUUUACAUCAGAUUGGCUGUAGAAAUUCAACGGAAACUCGCAGGCGGGCCAUUUUUACUUCAAAGUGUAUGUAUUGUAAUUCUGUAUCGUCUCUAUGACCUAGUUUUGCAAUUUUCUCACGGGAAAGCCGUCAAAAUUGCAUUUUUGUAUUUUGAGACACUGAUUUUUCUUGUUUUAGAGCGCUAGAAAUUGAACAGGAUAUCGCAGUAGGGUCAUUCUUGUAGUAAUGAGUUCAAUUCUAUUAUUAUACCGCGUUUUCUUAUGUUUCAGGGGGAGAAUUAUUUAAACGAACAAUAAAUAAGGUAAAUCAUAUUUGAAGAAAAAUAUUUAAUGAAAUGUUUUGUUAUGUUUUAUUAUCUUAUGUGACGGGCCAGCAACCUCGGCACAGAGCGAUAUGACGCGGUGGGUCAAAAUGAUGCUCUUGUGUACACGCGUUUUAUUUUUGCGAAUGUUUACUUGUAUGUAUUUUUAAAAGUUAUUAAUAAAACACUUAUUACAUUUAUAA